CAUGUGAUGGAAGUGAAGAUAAAGGGAAACUUACAUUAGAGCCUAUGGACUCUACUAUUAAAGUUGGCAACACAGAGCUUGUUUCAAAAGAUGAUGGCGGAGUUCAACCAAUGGCUGGAGUUGAAUUUUCUGAGAGCGAGCAUGAUGGGGCUCACAUUUCAAUUAAACCAAUGGCUGGAGUUGAAUGUUCUGAGAGCGAGCAUGAUGGGGCUCACAAUUCAAAAGAUCUCUCAGAAACACAAGCAUCUUCACCCAAAGUUUUAUUUAAUUCCAAUGAUGGAGUCUCAAAUGAUUUUAAUGCUGAAAUUGCUGAUCCAAUGGAUGUUGGCGGAGUUAUGGUAGAACAAGC
rnacentral:lncRNA from 1 species